AAAGAAUCCCCUUUCAGGCCACAUGAAAAGCUGCAUGUUAAAGCCAACUCCAUAAAGAGGAAUGGAAACUAGCAUAUGAAAUUCAGAAAUGCUACUUUUAAAGGUGGCCGUCGAGGACCGAGUCAGGCAGCUGCAUGAAGCCCACAGGGACUUUGGUCCAGCGUCUCAGCACUUUCUUUCCACGUCUGUCCAGGGUCCCUGGGAGAGAGCCAUCUCGCCAAACAAAGUGCCCUACUAUAUCAACCACGAGACUCAAACAACUUGCUGGGACCAUCCCAAAAUGACAGAGCUCUACCAGUCUUUAGCUGACCUGAAUAAUGUCAGAUUCUCAGCUUAUAGGACUGCCAUGAAACUCCGAAGACUGCAGAAGGCCCUUUGCUUGGAUCUCUUGAGCCUGUCAGCUGCAUGUGAUGCCUUGGACCAGCACAACCUCAAGCAAAAUGACCAGCCCAUGGAUAUCCUGCAGAUUAUUAAUUGUUUGACCACUAUUUAUGACCGCCUGGAGCAAGAGCACAACAAUUUGGUCAACGUCCCUCUCUGCGUGGAUAUGUGUCU
rnacentral:sRNA from 1 species